UACGUAGGGUCCGAGCGUUGUCCGGAAUUAUUGGGCGUAAAGGGCUCGUAGGCGGUUUGUUGCGUCGGGAGUGAAAACCAGGUGCUUAACACCUGGCCUGCUUUCGAUACGGGCGGACUAGAGGCAUUCAGGGGAGAACGGAAUUCCUGGUGUAGCGGUGAAAUGCGCAGAUAUCAGGAGGAACACCGGUGGCGAAGGCGGUUCUCUGGGAAUGUUCUGACGCUGAGGAGCGAAAGUGUGGGGAGCGAACAGG
rnacentral:rRNA from 1 species